GACGAACGCUGGCGGCGUGCUUAACACAUGCAAGUCGAACGGUGAAGGGGUCUGCUUUUGUGGGCCCUGGAUGAGUGGCGAACGGGUGAGUAACACGUGAGUAACCUGCCCCCUUCUUCUGGAUAACCGCAUGAAAGUGUGGCUAAUACGGGAUAUUCUGGGUCUGUCGCAUGAUGGGUCUGGGAAAGAUUGCGCCUUUGGGUGUUUUUGGUGGGGGAUGGGCUCGCGGCCUAUCAGCUUGUUGGUGGGGUGAUGGCCUACCAAGGCGGUGACGGGUAGCCGGCCUGAGAGGGUGGACGGUCACACUGGGACUGAGACACGGCCCAGACUCCUACGGGAGGCAGCAGUUGGGAAUAUUGCACAAUGGGCGCAAGCCUGAUGCAGCGACGCCGCGUGAGGGAUGGAGGCCUUCGGGUUGUAAACCUCUUUCGCCAGUGAAGCAGGCCUGCUCCUUGUGGGUGGGUUGACGGUAGCUGGAUAAGAAGCGCCGGCUAACUACGUG
rnacentral:rRNA from 1 species